UGGGGAAUAUUGCACAAUGGGCGAAAGCCUGAUGCAGCGACGCCGCGUGAGGGACGACGGCCUUCGGGUUGUAAACCUCUUUCAGUAGGGAACAAGGCAUCAUUUUUGUGGUGUUGAGGGUACUUGCAGAAGAAGCACCGGCUAACUACGUGCCAGCAGCCGCGGUAAUACGUAGGGUGCAAGCGUUAUCCGGAAUUAUUGGGCGUAAAGAGCUCGUAGGCGGUUUGUCGCGUCUGUCGUGAAAGUCCGGGGCUCAACUCCGGAUCUGCGGUGGGUACGGGCAGACUAGAGUGAUGUAGGGGAGACUGGAAUUCCUGGUGUAGCGGUGGAAUGCGCAGAUAUCAGGAGGAACACCGAUGGCGAAGGCAGGUCUCUGGGCAUUAACUGACGCUGAGGAGCGAAAGCAUGGGGAGCGAACA
rnacentral:rRNA from 2 species